rnacentral:rRNA from 1 species
GAUGAACGCUGGCGGCGUGCCUAAUACAUGCAAGUCUAGCGAACGGACGAGAAGCUUGCUUUUCUGAUGUUAGCGGCGGACGGGUGAGUAACACGUGUAUAACCUACCUAUAAUACUGGGAUAACUUCGGGAAACCGGAUCUAAUACCGGAUAAUAUUUUGAACCGCAUUGUUCAAAAGUGAAAGACGGUCUUGCUGUCACUUAUAGAUGCAUCCGCGCUGCAUUAGCUAGUUGGUAAGGUAACGGCUUACCAAGGCAACGAUGCAUAGCCGACCUGAGAGGGUGAUCGGCCACACUGGAACUGAGACACGGUCCAGACUCCUACGGGAGGCAGCAGUAGGGAAUCUUCCGCAAUGGGCGAAAGCCUGACGGAGCAACGCCGCGUGAGUGAUGAAGGUCUUGGGAUCGUAAAACUCUGUUAUUAGGGAAGAACAUAUGUGUAAGUAACUGUGCACAUAUUGACGGUAACUAAUAAGAAAGCAACGGCUAACUACGUG